GCCUACGGGGGGCUGCAGUAGGGAAUAUUGGACAAUGGGCGCAAGCCUGAUCCAGCAAUGCCGCGUGAGUGAUGAAGGCCUUAGGGUUGUAAAGCUCUUUUACCCGAGAUGAUAAUGACAGUAUCGGGAGAAUAAGCUCCGGCUAACUCCGUGCCAGCAGCCGCGGUAAUACGGAGGGAGCUAGCGUUGUUCGGAAUUACUGGGCGUAAAGCGCACGUAGGCGGCGAUUUAAGUCAGAGGUGAAAGCCCGGGGCUCAACCCCGGAACUGCCUUUGAGACUGGAUUGCUAGAAUCUUGGAGAGGCGAGUGGAAUUCCGAGUGUAGAGGUGAAAUUCGUAGAUAUUCGGAAGAACACCAGUGGCGAAGGCGGCUCGCUGGACAAGUAUUGACGCUGAGGUGCGAAAGCGUGGGGAGCAAACAGGAUUAGAUACCCUUGUAGUC
rnacentral:rRNA from 1 species